UGCAGCCACCUCAUCCACUUUUCUUAAAUAUUUUUGAUGGAUUUUCGGAUUUCAUUAGCCCAAAGAUUCCAAAUUUUCAGGUCCAAACCAUUUCCCCAAUCCUAUCGACUCCUCUCCUCCGACGACGACGCUCCACCGUCACCGGUUUCUCCCCUCCUUAACUAUCGAUCCAUGCCGUUUCACCAUUUGAUGCGAAUUCAAUUCUUCCAAUCCUCUACACUUUCAUUCAUCUUCCAUGUCUUCCAUAACAAUUGCAACAGUUUCGUUUGUAACUGCUAAUUUUGUUCUUCGAUCUUCUCUGAUUUAAUGGACGGUCCACUACUUCUUCCUUAAAUUGUCGUAGGAUUCUCCGUUUCUGGCCUGCUCGAAACAUUAAAAAAGGUGGACAACUCAUGGGUGUUGAUUUCCUUCUUACUGACGAAAAGGUUCCCUCAAACUCCAUUCUCCUCUUGAUUCAUUCUUAAUUAAGUAAACUCCAUUCUCCUCAUAAUCCACUAUGUGUUAACAACUAAACCAGGUUUGGUUUGUAGUUAAGCUCUGAGAAAUCAAGGAUGUCAAAACUAAAACCAACCUUGAGCAGAGUCUAUGGCUAUAUGGAGUCUCAUUUCCCAGCUAAGAUCCUCUGCAUUCUCACCUGCAUGUCCGUAGAUAUAACACACCGGUGACGGUGAGCUCAUAGGAAGCACCAAUUGGUAACAGAGAAAUAGAGAGAGAUGAAGAUUACUUGAAAGAUAAGCUUGCAAGUUGCCGUUGGCCAUGUACUCGUUGAUGAGAGCCAUACUGCGAUCAUCGCAAUAUCCAACAAAGGAAGCUAAGUAGCGGUGAUGCACUGUCAAAAGAAGCUCUGCCAGCAAACGUUUUGCACUUGCGCAACCAUAAAACAACAUUUUCCAAUAUAAGUAAUCAUGUUUUUUUGGUGUUCUUUAGAUUACCUCGACUUGGAAUUGGUUAGAAGCCCUGGAUGAUGAUGAUGAUUCUUUAGGUUUUCCUGGUGAAGAAUCGUUGAUCAUCUUUACAGCAAUUUUAGUCCCAUCUUCAAGAGAACCAGGUACACAGUACCAAACCCUCCUUUACCAAUCACUUUAUUGAAGUUGUUUGUAAUGCAAGAGAGCUCAUUAUAUGUGAACCUUCUCUUCCCCGAAGGUAGGAGUGGUCCUGAUGAUAGAUACUUGACAGUAAACAUUUCUCAGCAAAAUUCUCUGACUUCAAAUUUAUUAACCAUGAAGUAAAAAAUUUCAACCAUUUUGUCUUCGCCUUAGUAUGAUCCAUAGAUAACCAUGAGCACAAUGAGAAUGAUUACUGAUGUCUACAGCUAUGGGCACGACCAUGUUGUUUUUAUUCUUGUCUUGACGUGAACGUGAGCUGCAAAGGUUUUGGUCAUCCACACUGGAAAACAGAGGAAAUCACAAGAUCAAUAGAGAGUGUUUGUGAUUCAGUAACUUUUCUGUAAAAAUCUAGAUGUUACCUGAGCGCAAGUAGACCGGCCUUUAGUUUUUUCAUAAGAGAACUUGGGAUAAACCCAGUAAAAUUAUUUUCUUUCAAAUUCCUUUGCAACACAAAAAAAAAAUGUCAUGAUGCAAGUUCACUAUUAAAAUA